rnacentral:rRNA from 1 species
UGGGGAAGUUUUGGUACAAUGGGCGAAAGCCUGAUCCAGCCAUGCCGCGUGAGUGACGAAGGCCUUAGGGUUGUAAAACUCUUUCGUCGGGGACGAUAAUGACGGUACCCGAAGAAGAAGCUCCGGCUAACUUCGUGCCAGCAGCCGCGGUAAUACGAAGGGAGCUAGCGUUGUUCGGAAUCACUGGGCGUAAAGCGCACGUAGGCGGAUAGUUAAGUCAGGGGUGAAAUCCUGGGGCUCAACCCCAGAACUGCCUUUGAUACUGGCUGUCUCGAGGUCGAGAGAGGUUGGUGGAAUUCCUAGUGUAGAGGUGAAAUUCGUAGAUAUUAGGAAGAACACCAGUGGCGAAGGCGGCCAACUGGCUCGAUACUGACGCUGAGGUGCGAAAGCGUGGGGAGCAAACAGGAUUAGAUACCCCAGUAGUCCCUGAGCGGGCUGGCAAGGCGCAU